GAUGAAGAACGCAGCGAAAUGCGAUACGUAAUGUGAAUUGCAGAAUUCAGUGAAUCAUCGAGUCUUUGAACGCACAUUGCGCCCCCUGGUAUUCCGGGGGGCAUGCCUGUCCGAGCGUCAUUGCUGCCCUCAAGCACGGCUUGUGUGUUGGGCCUCCGUCCUCCUCCCGGGGGACGGGCCCGAAAGGCAGCGGCGGCACCGCGUCCGGUCCUCGAGCGUAUGGGGCUUCGUCACCCGCUCUUGUAGGCCCGGCCGGCGCUUGCCGACACAUCAAUCUUUUUUCCAGGUUGACCUCGGAUCAGGUAGGGAUACCCGCUGAACUUAAGCAUAUCAAGAAGCGGAGGA
rnacentral:misc_RNA from 1 species